rnacentral:rRNA from 1 species
UGGGGAAUUUUGGACAAUGGGGGAAACCCUGAUCCAGCCAUCCCGCGUGUGCGAUGAAGGCCUUCGGGUUGUAAAGCACUUUUGGCAGGAAAGAAACGUCAUGGGUUAAUACCCCGUGAAACUGACGGUACCUGCAGAAUAAGCACCGGCUAACUACGUGCCAGCAGCCGCGGUAAUACGUAGGGUGCAAGCGUUAAUCGGAAUUACUGGGCGUGAAGCGUGCGCAGGCGGUUCGGAAAGAAAGAUGUGAAAUCCCAGAGCUCAACUUUGGAACUGCAUUUUUAACUACCGGGCUAGAGUGUGUCAGAGGGAGGUGGAAUUCCGCGUGUAGCAGUGAAAUGCGUAGAUAUGCGGAGGAACACCGAUGGCGAAGGCAGCCUCCUGGGAUAACACUGACGCUCAUGCACGAAAGCGUGGGGAGCAAACAGG